rnacentral:lncRNA from 1 species
AAAAAAUAAUAAAAAAUAAAAAGUAUCUAGCAUCUACUUGUAAUCUUCUUGCAUAUUGGGCUCUGGAACCAGGUCCUCUUGAUCUAAAAUGGUUAAAUAAAGGAUGAGCUACACUAGCCCAGUAAGGAUAUCACACUAUAUCACCGGCACAGAAGCAAAGGUUGGUAUAAAAUCAAAACAACUAAUGGAACACUAAAUUUAGCAAAUUCGUUUAUCAAUCAUAAAAUUAUUUACCGUUCACUUACCAUUGUGGAAUUUAUGAAAACAACCUAUAGAGACAAUAAUACCAUACAGAUCAUAACUUCAUGAACAAUCAGCAAUAUAGAACAUAUCAUAAAUUCAUAUCCAUUAACAAUAAACCAAAUCAUAAUCGUUUCUUAUUUCACCAAUCUACUAUUAUCCAUGGGGGUUCAUAGGGGUGUCCCCCUAACACAUGAACCCUUUCCCUUAACAAUCUCAAUUACAGGGCCGUCCCCAUACCCGUCCGGUAUAAGCCCCAAGACAUUAAACCUCAAUACCUUAUCCGGUAUGAGGGUGAAGCGGGCCGUCCCAUACCACGUCCGGUAUGAGACAACAUUCACGGUAGGGUUCCCUAUGAACCCGGUCCGUCCACCAUCUCCCAGGAUAUUUAGUGAGGCUAUCAUUCUAUCUGUUUAUUUGAUCCCCUUUCCUGUUUUUCCUUAGUCUCCAUUACCAAAUCAAACAUAAUCACAUAAACAAAUAAACAUGCAUCCAGUAAUGCAAUCAUGUCUCAAAUUCCAAAAUCAAAUAGUGGUCAGGUAAUGCAGUAAUACAUGCAUUUAAACCAUAAAAUAGAUAAACUAGAUACCAUCAUGCUUUUAGAUUGUAAAAUAAAUCAACAAAAAUCAAUAGAGAACAAUGUCCGGUUUGGGCUCCAUUAGAAAUCUGUAAUUAAUUAU